AACGAACGCUGGCGGCAUGCCUAACACAUGCAAGUCGAACGAGACCUUCGGGUCUAGUGGCGCACGGGUGCGUAACGCGUGGGAAUCUGCCCUUAGGUUCGGAAUAACUUCGGGAAACUGAAGCUAAUACCGGAUGAUGACGUAAGUCCAAAGAUUUAUCGCCUAAGGAUGAGCCCGCGUAGGAUUAGCUAGUUGGUGAGGUAAAGGCUCACCAAGGCGACGAUCCUUAGCUGGUCUGAGAGGAUGAUCAGCCACACUGGGACUGAGACACGGCCCAGACUCCUACGGGAGGCAGCAGGUGGGGAAUAUUGGACAAGUGGGGCAACCCUGAUCCAGCCAUGCCGCGUGAGUGAUGAAGGCCUUCGGGUUGUAAACUCUUUAGAUGUGACGAUGAUGACGGUAACAUCAGAAAAGCUCCGGCUAACUUACGUGCCAGCAGCCGCGG
rnacentral:rRNA from 1 species